rnacentral:rRNA from 1 species
AUUGAACGCUGGCGGCAGGCCUAACACAUGCAAGUCGAGCGGAUGAAGGGAGCUUGCUCCUGGAUUCAGCGGCGGACGGGUGAGUAAUGCCUAGGAAUCUGCCUGGUAGUGGGGAUAACGUCCGGAAACGGGCGCUAAUACCGCAUACGUCCCGAGGGAGAAAGUGGGGGAUCUUUGGACCUCACGCUAUCAGAUGAGCCUAGGUCGGAUUAGCUAGUUGGUGGGGUAAAGGCCUACCAAGGCGACGAUCCGUAACUGGUCUGAGAGGAUGAUCAGUCACACUGGAACUGAGACACGGUCCAGACUCCUACGGGAGGCAGCAGUGGGGAAUAUUGGACAAUGGGCGAAAGCCUGAUCCAGCCAUGCCGCGUGUGUGAAGAAGGUCUUCGGAUUGUAAAGCACUUUAAGUUGGGAGGAAGGGCAGUAAGUUAAUACCUUGCUGUUUUGACGUUACCAACAGAAUAAGCACCGGCUAACUUCGUG